AAAAAAUGAUGAGGGAGAUAUACAUUGUUAUCAAAUCUUUAUUAUUAAACUCAUUAAUUGUCAUAUAUAUAUUAGUCAUUUAUGGUAAUUCCGUAGGUUUUAUUUAAGGAAAAAAAAUAUCAUAUCAUAUCAUUAUAUCAUAUAGUUUGACCAACUUAUGUAUCUAACAAUAUAUAAAAAUCGAAUGUGGACCUACUUAUUUUUCAAUUGAAUGUAAUUGACUACCUAAUUGAGUGCCACCUAUGCAUUGGGGCCUCUUUUAAUUAAUACAAAAUUGAGGUUACAUCUUUUCAAAUGUUCCUCAAUUAAUAUAUAAGG
rnacentral:lncRNA from 1 species